rnacentral:rRNA from 1 species
UUCGGCCUACGGGGGGCAGCAGAGAGGAAAAUUGGUUAAUGGGUGAGAGGCUGAACCAGCCAAGUCGCGUGAGGGAUGACGGCCCUACGGGUUGUAAACCUCUUUUGCCGGGGAGCAAAGAGCGGGACGCGUCCCGCCUCGAGAGUACCCGGAGAAAAAGCAUCGGCUAACUCCGUGCCAGCAGCCGCGGUAAUACGGAGGAUGCGAGCGUUAUCCGGAUUUAUUGGGUUUAAAGGGUGCGCAGGCGGAAGCGCAAGUCAGCGGUAAAAUUGAGAGGCUCAACCUCUUCCCGCCGUUGAAACUGC